GAUGAACGCUGGCGGCGUGCCUAAUACAUGCAAGUCGAGCGAACAGACGAGGAGCUUGCUCCUCUGACGUUAGCGGCGGACGGGUGAGUAACACGUGGAUAACCUACCUAUAAGACUGGGAUAACUUCGGGAAACCGGAGCUAAUACCGGAUAAUAUAUUGAACCGCAUGGUUCAAUAGUGAAAGACGGUUUUGCUGUCACUUAUAGAUGGAUCCGCGCCGCAUUAGCUAGUUGGUAAGGUAACGGCUUACCAAGGCGACGAUGCGUAGCCGACCUGAGAGGGUCAUCCGGCACACUGGAACUGAGGAAGGGUCCAGACACCUACGGGAGGCAGCAGUAGGGAAUCUUCCGCGAGGGGCGAAAGCCUGACGGAGCAACGCCGCGUGAGUGAUGAAGGUCUUCGGAUCGUAAAACUCUGUUAUUAGGGAAGAACAAAUGUGUAAGUAACUAUGCACGUCUUGACGGUACCUAAUCAGAAAGCCACGGCUAACUACGUG
rnacentral:rRNA from 1 species